rnacentral:rRNA from 1 species
GACGAACCGAGCGAACGUUGUUCGGAAUCACUGGGCUUAAAGGGCGCGUAGGCGGUGCUCUAAGUCGGAUGUGAAAACUCUGGGCUCAACCCAGAGCCUGCAUCCGAAACUGGAGUGCUAGAGUUCUGGAGGGGGUAGCGGAAUUCCUGGUGUAGCGGUGAAAUGCGUAGAGAUCCGGAAGAACACCGGUGGCGAAGGCGGCCUGCUGGGCAGUAGCUGACGCUGAUGCGCGACAGCGUGGGGAGCAAACAGG